UAUGUCAGUUCCUGCCUAUUUUCCAGUCUGCUUCUUAGCCUUCCCAACAAUUAGGGGAAAUCUCUGAUAGGACACUGGUAAAUUCCUUUUCUAUUUAAGCUAACAUGAUGAUUAAUUUUAUAUGUCAACUUGACUGUGCAGUGGCACCCAGAUAUCAGUUGAAGACCUGAAUAGAAUAAAGAUUGACACCCACCCCAACAAGAAGGAAUUCUGUCAGCAGACUGCUUUCUGACUUGGUCCACCUGCAGACUUUGAACUCCCAGUCUCAUAUUCUGAAUACUUACGAGAAGAUCACUGAAUCCUUGGACCUAGAUCAUCCAUUUUGCAUAGAAAUAUGUUUGGUCAUCCAUCUGCUAGAACCUAAGGAAGGGCUGGGACUCUGAGUUCCACUUUCUUGGACUUUGUAAAGGAAUUUCACAUAACCAGAUCAGAGACAUAAUGCAAAUACAAAACCAGAUUUUUUCUCCAUUGUGCUGAUGUCACUUUCUUCACUGGAUGUUUCAUCCUGUAUACGGAAGCAAUUCUAUUCCUUGGCCUCCUAAGUCUUCUGGGGAAAAGGAAGAAAAAAAGGGAUCAGCCCUCUGAGAAUCACUCUUCCGCUGUGUCUCUAUCUGUACCAGGAAGUUGGUCUACUUCAGGAAAGCAUGAACCAGUAUAUGGUUGACUGAACUUCCUUAUCAUCAGAACAUGCUGCUGCCCAGACAUAUCAAGGAAAUGUAUUACUUCGAAGGAAUAUUCACAACACUGUCAGCUAUAGAAGUUUUCUUUAUUCGAGAGUAGGUUGGUCAGCUACUAGAGGAGAGGCAACUUGACAUUUGCAACCCAAACUAACUAGCUAGGUCCCAGGCUAAUUUUGGCUAUGUCUUCCAAGGACCUAAAAAAGAGGAAAAUUACUUGUAGGGAGAGGAUUAUUUUAUUUUGCAGAAUUACAAAAUUUCACAAUAGAAGAGCACGGAAAAAGGGUAGGAGGGAAGGUGUCUCUUUCAUUAAUCAAGUUUUUGAGGUUUGGAACUUUUGAGGUUUCAGGAAAAAUGACUGACAGAGUCAGUCAUUCAAUCAAUUGUUCAAUAAAUAUUUGUUGAACAAUUACUAUGUGGCAGGAAAUUCAUAGGAUCGAGCAGGGCUGACAUGAUCUAUGUCCUUAAGGAAUGUUCAGUCUAAUAAAGAGGCAGAUCUUAAAUAAACAACUGCACAGAUAUGUGUGAGAAGUGUU